GACAGUUUAGCUUAAUGGCAAAGCACUCAACUGGAGUCUUGGGAGAUGUGAAUUUGAGUUCCAUGGCUGUUU
rnacentral:tRNA from 1 species